UGCAAGUCGAACGGCAGCACGGGAGCAAUCCUGGUGGCGAGUGGCGAACGGGUGAGUAAUAUAUCGGAACGUACCUUUCAGUGGGGGAUAACGUAGCGAAAGUUACGCUAAUACCGCAUAUUCUGUGAGCAGGAAAGCAGGGGAUCUUAGGACCUUGCGCUGAUUGAGCGGCCGAUAUCAGAUUAGCUAGUUGGUGAGGUAAAGGCUCACCAAGGCGACGAUCUGUAGCGGGUCUGAGAGGAUGAUCCGCCACACUGGAACUGAGACACGGUCCAGACUCCUACGGGAGGCAGCAGUGGGGAAUUUUGGACAAUGGGGGCAACCCUGAUCCAGCCAUGCCGCGUGAGUGAAGAAGGCCUUCGGGUUGUAAAGCUCUUUCAGCCGGGAAGAAAACGCAUGGGUUAAUACCCUGUGUGGAUGACGGUACCGGAAUAAGAAGCACCGGCUAACUACGUGCCAGCAGCCGCGGUAAUACGUAGGGUGCGAGCGUUAAUCGGAAUUACUGGGCGUAAAGCGUGCGCAGGCGGUUUUGUAAGACAGGCGUGAAAUCCCCGGGCUCAACCUGGGAACUGCGUUUGUGACUGCAAGGCUAGAGUAUGGCAGAGGGGGGUGGAAUUCCACGUGUAGCAGUGAAAUGCGUAGAGAUGUGGAGGAACACCGAUGGCGAAGGCAGCCCCCUGGGCCAAUACUGACGCUCAUGCACGAAAGCGUGGGUAGCAAACAGGAUUAGAUACCCUGGUAGUCCACGCCCUAAACGAUGUCAACUAGGUGUUGGGUGGGUAAAACCAUUUAGUACCGGAGCUAACGCGUGAAGUUGACCGCCUGGGGAGUACGGCCGCAAGGUUAAAACUCAAAGGAAUUGACGGGGACCCGCACAAGCGGUGGAUGAUGUGGAUUAAUUCGAUGCAACGCGAAAACCUUACCUACY
rnacentral:rRNA from 1 species